GCCCUCACCUGCAAGUCGGCUGACCCGAACGACCCUCGUUUGCUGUGUACCGGAAGUGCUUGGCCUUCUUGGCGGCUGUUGUCCGGAAGUGGAGUCCCUCCCCCUCAGCCUCGGGGCGGUCCAGCUGUCCCUGUAAGGGCGGGGCCUAGGGGCUACCUUGGGAUUGAAUGCCCCGCAGCUGUUGGAAGCCUCCCUCUGAUGUUUCCUUAAGCAUUGUUGGAAAGGCCGCACUAUGGCUUUGGGCAGCGUUCACACCCUUGGCCCGCCUUAAGCUGUGUGGCCUUGGGUGGGUUAUGCGACCUCUCUGAGCUUCCCAGGUGACUCCUCUGCAAAAUGGGAUGGUGAAAUCCGAGUUGGUGCUAAAUCGUAACGUUCAUGCUGCCUAGCAGGCCUUCAGCAGACCGGCCUCUGUCGUCUGGUAGCACCACUGGCUCUGGGUAGAUCUGAGAAGCAGCUUUCUAAGGCGGCCCGCUCGGCUCGCAUUCCCGCCCGGAUUCAAAGGACUGACAAUUCCUUCUCUCCCUCAACAACGUCUUCCCUAUCUAAUCCUAACAAGCAAGCCUUAAGGAAUUGCAGAGUUUCCGGUUGAAGGUUCUCCAGGCCCCCUUGUUUAAGGACAGAUUAACUCUCACUGAAGAACAGAAGAGAAUCCGAAACACACAAGUGUCUCUACCUUAAGCAGGAGAGGGAGUGGGUGGGAGCUCCCCAGAUGGCCUUUACCUUGGGCUUUUUUCUUUCCCCCUCAUUUGGGGUGCUAGUGACCUGGGCUCUGGCCCACAACACUUUCUGUAAGCAAGAACCGUGGAUGUCACGACUAAGGAAGAGAUCUCGUGUUUAUUCUUGAGCUCUUCUGCGAGGUGAGACUCAUUUGAACAAGAGAGGCAGCUGCCAGAGCGCACUGAACAUGCCUCGGAUAUUCAGGGAGAGUGAAAACCAACUCUAGUCACCUGAAGAAAGACAAGGCUUUGAUUUCCAUCGUGAUGAGAGGUACAGGUGAAUGCAGACGCUUCAGGGACACCCUAAGGUAUUCUGGCCCCAGCAGGGUUCUCCUGCCCCACUCUCUGGAAGAUUUCACAUUCCGGGCACCUCAUCUUCCUCACCCAGCAACGAUGUUUUGUGUCUUGAUCCCAGUUGAAGAGCCUGGCAUACAAACAACCUAGGCUAUUCAUUCCUGGAGCAAUUUUACAUAUGCAAGACGGAAGCCAAGACUGAUGUCUUCAUCCCGGACGUGCUGGUUCACACACAUUCUGGGUGAACGAGUCAUGCUCAGGGGUCAGAACAGGAAGUGGCUACUGUUGGACGAAAGAUUCUGCAGGAAAAGAUGAAAGAUGCUUCAUGGCUCUGGGAGUGGAGAAAGAGAAAAGAGGCCAGCCUUGUCUGCAGCUGUCACGGUGAAAAGUUCCAGACACUGGAGACUCAGGUGCUGGCAGAUGAUUUAUGAGAAGUGACAUCUUGGGACAGAGGCCACCUCCAGCCAGAGCCCCAUUCCUGCCUGAGCCAUGCUUGGAACAGCGAAAUUUCUGGAAGCUGGAAGUCCAGGAUCAAGGUGCCAGCAGAUUCGGUGUCUGUACUUGCGAAGUAAUACACUCGGGAGAAGAAAACGUACACACGCGACGCAACAACUAGCCCCAGCGUGAUGGGACGCGGGCGCCAACAGUGAGUGACCACCCCGCGGCGCGGGUACCGGCCCGAGGGCCCGGGAGGGAGGGGCACCCACCGCCGGGAGGAUCUGGGACUGCAAGAUGAUGCUGUUGGGAAGGCCGUUCUGCCUGCUCUCGGUCGUGGCCUCGGCCCACGUCACGUGGAAGCCGGUCACAGGCCGCUGGACGGUGGCCUUGCUCGUCUUCCAGGAGAAGCGCCCCGUGACGUUCGUGUCCCGCACCACGAAGGAGGCCGAGAGGUUCUCGGGUUUGGCGUGCACUUUGGAAUGAACGUGACCUGGAGCAGCGGGAAGAGGAAGGCCGGGUCAGGGGAUGGAGAGCGCGCAGGGGCCCUCGACGGCAGAGUAAAGGCUCCUGAGCACAGUUUCCUGCUUCCUGACCGACCCUGGUGCUUCCCCGUGUGGCCUGAGUGGUGUGGAGGCUCCCUGCUCCUGGAGGCUAACUUCAUCAUCACACACUACCAAUGUGACCAGCACCUCACAGGCAGCCUCAUGUAUAAAUCAGCAAUUUUCCUCUUCCUUCUCUGGAUGCACCGUAUCACUGAUUCCUUCACGCUGAACUCACACCUGGAGGGGGACAAGCCAGCCGCACAUCUUCCUCGGAAGGCACCGUGUCGCCUUCUCACUGAGAAGGCUGAGAAACACCAGGCAGCACUCCACCACUAUGCUUGGGGCCACUUUAACCAGAACAAAUCUCCAGCAAAGAGCAAGAAAAUGCAACAAAACAGACCAGAAACCCACGGCACUAAACAGACCGUGCAAAGGAUGUGUUGCCAGUAUGAGAGCGGAAACGAGAGGGCAGCGUCCCCUCAGCUUCAGGUGGGAACGUGUACGUGGGGCGACUCAAGCCCGUCGCCACUCCCUGCACGAGCAUCCCCACGAAGGACCACACAAGCGCCCCCCAGUACUGGCUAGGGGUCACAAAUAAAUCGUAGUGACUGCACGAAUCUUCAUCCACAACCCUUUCAUAUGUUACCUUUAAGCCAGUCCUCACCCUAUGGUGCAGAGGUAUUGACUGAAGUGGUCCCACUGCCAUCACUGGAUUUAAAUAGUGAUCACUGCAGGCCCACGUUUCCAGCACUUUACAUGCAGUCUCAGCAGUGUCUGACAUCCCUCCCUCUUCUUAAACCCCUUGCCCGCCUUGGCUUCUGUCUCAAAUCUCCCCGUUUUUCUCCAGUUCCUCUGAGCACUCACUUGCACUGUCCUCUGCUGCAUCACCCCCCUUUGUCCUGAAACUGGAGUUCCGUCCUGCCCGGUCCUGGUCCCUCUUCUCUCUAGGGGAUCCCACCCUUAUUUAAGAACUUAUUCUUAAACUCUAUGUUAUUCUGGUCCAAGUACUACUUUACAACUGUACAGUGUUUUACCUAUAAUAGUUGCUUACAGACACUUGUUUGCAGUGACUUUUCUUAGUUGUAAAUAAUACUGUUAGCUUGUUUCCAUAUAAAUAUUCUGGUGAAUUACUAGUAAAUAAGCAACCAAGUAACCAAGAAGAAAGCAAGGAAAAAAAGUGCUUCUGACUAAUCCUUAUUUUGAAUAAACAGAAAUGAAACAGCCAAAAAAAUUUUUUAAAUAAACAUUAUGUCUACAAUCAUCACUUUUAGUCAAUAUUGUACUCAAAGUCUCAGCCAGUGUUAAGACAGGGGAAAGAAGCAAAAUAAUUCUCAUUAUUUAUGGACUAUGUGAUUGUUUUUAUAGAAAAUGGAAAAGAAUCAUCAGAUGAAAUGCUUUAAUGGACAAAGUAAUAUAACAAUAUAUUUGGAUUCACAGUCAAUAUAAAAAUAUAA